ACUAACUGUACUUGAUUUCUUCUUAUUGCUACCUGCUAGGUGAAGAGUCUUCAAGUGGGACAAAAAUGGAGCAGGAAGACUAGUUAGGAGACCAUGCCAAGCACGAAGAGGUGGAAGUGACUUGGAGAGAUGGCGAUAGAAAUGGAGCCUCCUGGGGAACGAGAGCCCACAAAGAGAAAGAGGCCCAGCUGGCAGACAGCCUGAACAACACACAUGCGAGUGAGGCCAUCUGACAGCUACAGCCACAGUCCAUCUGCCAAGGGAGUGAGCAGCAUGGUUCACCCCGGGGGAGACCAGCAGAAGCACCACCCAGCUGGGUCCAGCCCAAAUUACUGACCCACAAAACUCUGAGCAAACAAGUGG